CCCUUCUGAAUGUGGGUCAUUUCCCCGAUAUCAUCAGGACAGAAACUGAACCCACAGGUCUCUCUUCCAGACUGGGCUUCCGGCCGCUGGGCGCGGGGGCCCCCUGAGGGUUACCCCUGGGGAACAGCUGCAUCGGUGAUGGUUGCAUUCUCUCUUCCUUUAAUUUGUUUAAACAACUUCCACCGAGACUGCUUAACCUGGGGAUGGAAGAGCCCGAGGAGAAGUGCGGACCCCUGACAUCGGGCCCCUGUGAGCUUUAGGUUGUGUGACAAAUGGGGCCCUGGAGGCUGCUUUCCUGUAGCUGCGGGAGUCAGCGACGUUGGCUUGGGCGACCUCCAGUGUGGCUGCCACCCGCAAAGGCACCUGGGAGUGAGCAGACUUUCCUGAAGGUGGGGCUCGGCGGCCAGCACACAACUUCCGGUGCAACACUGGUUCUCCAGGCCCCUCUGUGUUGUUAGCUCAUCGGGCCCUGGUCUCCAUCUCCUCCCGCUCCCCUCCCCUCUCUUCCCCUCCUCCCUUUUUGCAGCUUUCCUGCUCUUCCCGGGUCCUCUUUAUUUCUAGCACAGAGUGAUUCAGCCCUCAGGAACAGCUGUGCAAACACAACCCCGGAUGGCAACACUGACGUCACAGUCUACAGCAGAGGGCCACAAGCUGUAGUCCACUGCCGACCUGGCCCACAGCUUGUUCUGUAAAUAAAGUUUUAUUACAACGCA